rnacentral:tmRNA from 1 species
GGGGCUGAACGGUUUCGACUUCGCGCAUCGAAUCAAGGGAAGCGUGCCGGUGCAGGCAAGAGACCACCGUAAGCGUCGUUGCAACCAAUUAAGCGCCGAUUCCAAUCAGCGCGACUACGCCCUCGCUGCCUAAGCGACGGUGUGUCUGUCAGACCGGGAGCGCCCUCGGCCCGGACCCUGGCAUCAGCUAGAGGGACCCACCCACGGGUUCGGUCGCGGGACCCGUGGGGACAUCAAACAGCGACUGGGAUCGUCAUCUCGGCUUGUUCGCGUGACCGGGAGAUCCGAGUAGAGACUUAGCGAACUGCGCACGGAGAAGUCUUGAGGGAAUGCCGUAGGACCCGGGUUCAAUUCCCGGCAGCUCCAC